UUCUCGUUAAUGUGAGUAAGCUCUUUCAUCCUCCCAAUCUUCUAUCUCUCAUUUUCCUUCAUUUUCUCAAAUCACUUGAACCCAAAAGCUUAAAAGCUUGACAAAGCUCUUUAAAACCAUUUUUAAACCUUGCAUGUCUCAAUUUGUCCUAACCAGAUUCAAUCCAGGAAGCCGUGGGGAUAAUAACCAAAAAAAUGAAGAAUUGAGUCAAAGUGGCAAUUCAAGAAAAAGGGGAGCUCAACAAUCAAUUUAAUCAGAACAUCGUAUUUUCUUUCCUUGUGAGUUCCUUUUCUUAAAGGUUUUUUGUUUUGAGUAGUGAUUUAAUUUUUUGAAGUUGUUUGGAAGAAAAGAGGAAUGGAAGAAAACAAUUCACAUAGCUUUAACCCAUACAUUUCAUUGAAAAUGUCAGUAAAUUAGAACGUGCAUGUUGUUUAUCCUUGUGAUAUUUGUGAAUGAAUUAUAUGUUAGAAAAAAUUUACUUAUAUGUGCAUAACUAGAUUUAAGGUGAUUAUUAUGCUUGUCGAGCAUGAUUUAUGAUUUAUGCUCGUUACUGUCGUUGCCUUUGAUGUGUUUGUCAAAUUGUGUUAUAUGAGGAUUUUGAGCACUGAAAUUUUUUGAAUAAAGUGUUUUGGGUUAUUACAGUUUAGGAGAAUUAGAGUGUGAUGAAAUGAAAUUUUUGUAUAUAGGUGUUUUUAAAACUGCAUCCAAAUGAUUUUUCAUGAUUCUUAUGUUGUUAUUAAUUUCAUGACUUUUAUGUUGAUAUUAAUUUCAUGACUUUUAUAUUGUUACUAUUUUCAUGACUCUAAUGUUGUUUCUAAUUUUUUACUAUGAUUUUUGUUUUGAAUUAAGGAUUUAAGAAUAAAUUAUUAUGAGUUUAGUAUAUCGCCUAAGUUAUUUAUAAUUGUUGUGGAUGAGUGAUGCAUUUUAUAUAUGACAUAAUAAGUGCAUUUUAUACAAAACAUUUCAAGUUUUGUACAAUAUCAUUAAUCAGAUCAUGCAUGGUCUUAUAAUAAUAAUAAUAUUUUUAUCAUGAGAUGUAUAAUUAUUUUUCACGUUUUAUACACUUUUAUGAAAGAAACUCUUUGAGACUGUUUUUCCCUUUAUUUUUAGAGUUCACUGAGAUAUUUUAUCUCACCCUAAUUAUUAUUAUUAUUAUUAUUAUUUUAUUUAGCAGCUAGAGGAAUAUGAGACAUGAAUUUAGCAUCAGAAGAUCAGUUUCAAACUCAUGGAAUUAAAAUUUGAUGUUUUGUUUUAUGAUAUAAUCAGUCAAUCGUAUUUUGUUUUUAAGAUGUAAUAUUUUAUGAAUCUAAUAAACAAGUCGUAAACUAUAUUUAUGAAUGUAUUUUUCAGUUACGAUGGUGAUUCUAAUUUAUUAUUUAUUGUUAAUUACCUCUGUUUUAUUAAGGUGUAUGGGUCAAAUUAUUAUAUUCUAGACAAAUAUGAUAAUGGGUCUUACAUUAGGACACGUCUUCAUCGAGAGAAUUAAAAGGUUACUGAAAGAUUAGAUACUUAAAACUCUUAAUUUUGUGGAUUUUAAAACUUGUAUUGACUGCAUUAAGGGAAAGUAGACCAACAUGUCAAAGAAAGAUGCCAAUAGGAGUUCAAACAUAUUAGAAUAAUUCAUACAAACGACAUAUGUUGUCCCGACAUGGACACGCACGAUCAUAAAUAUUUUAUCACCUUUAUGGACGAUUACUCACGAUUUAUGAAUGAUUAUUUGCUUCAUAAUAAAAAUGAAACAUUGGAUUCCUUUAAAGUCUUUAAGGUUGAACUUUUGAACCAAUGUAGAAAUCAAAUAAAAAUAGUUAGAUCGAAUCGAGAUGGAGAAUACUAUGGUAUCUACAUUGAGAGUGGACAACCAUCUGAUCCAUUUUCUAUAUUUCUUCAAGGACAUGGAAAUUUUGCCCAAUAUACUAUGUAUGGUUCUUCGAACAAAAAUGGUGUUGCAUAAAGAAGAAAUUAAACAUUAUUGGACAUGGUGCAAAGUAUGCUUAACAACUCUAUUCUUCCAAAAAUCCUUGUGGAAUAGAGCACUAAAGACGGUUGUGUAUAUUUUAAAUUAUGUUCCUACUAAGGUUGUCCCAAAGACGCCUUUUGAAUUAGCUAAAGGUUGAAAACAAAGUUUGUGAUAUAUGCGCAUUUGGGGAUGUCUGUCUGAGGUGAGAACUUAUAAUUCACAAGAGAAGAAACUGGACUUGAGGACCAUUAGUGGGUAUUUCAUUGGAUAUGAUGAAUCAUUUGAAGUUUGUAGAUUUUACUGUCCAUUUCACACAACUAGGACUGUGGAAUCAAAAAUUGCAAAGUUUCUUGAAAAUCACUUGAUUAGUGGGAGCGAUCAAACCAGUAACUUAGUUUUUGUGCAUGAUCAUAUAGAGUCUCAAUCUUCCAUUUCAUGUGAUCGAUUGGUUGUCAUUCAUCACAUCCCUUAAGAUCAAAUGGAUGUCGAUCAAUCAAUCAUUGAGAUUCCACAAAAUUUUGAUAAUCUAGUAGAUCAAAUUGAUCAUCAAAUGCCUACAAAUGACGAUCAAUUAGUUGAACAACAUGAUCCAUAAGAAAAUUAAAUCCAACAUUGAGAAGUUUUACUAGACCAAUAAAAUCAAUUGUGCCUAAUGAUUAUAUUAUGUAUCUACAAGAAUAUGAUUAUAAUGAUGGAGCUGAUAAUGAUCUUGAAAUGUUUGCACAAGUCAAUUUUGUGGUAUAAUUCCAUGAUUGAUGAGAUGAAUUCCGUGAAAAACAAUGGUGUUUGAGAUCUUUUUGAGUUACCUACUAGAAUAAAGGCCUAUGGUCGUAAAUGAGUCUUUUAAGACUAAGAAAGAUUCAUUAGGUAACAUUGAGAGGUAUAAGGCCAAAUUUGUUGCUAAGGGAUUUAUUCAAAAAGAGUGAAUCAAUUACACAAAGACCUUGUCUCAUGUAUCUAAGACAAAUUCCUUUGUAUCAUUUUGAGAUUAGUUGCACAUUUUGAUCUCUAGUUACAUCAAAUGAAUUUAAAGACAAUAUUUCUUAAUGGUGAUUUGGAUGAGGAACUUUAUAUGAAACAACCUAAAGGUUUCUCCUAUAGUGAUGGUGAGCAUUUGGUUUGCAAACUUAAGAAAUUCAUAUAUGGUUUAAAACAAGUCUCUCGCUAAUAGUAUCUAAAAUUUUAUGGAACAAUAUCUUCAUUUGGAUUUUUUGAAAAUCCCAUGGAUUAAUGCAUAUUCUAGAAGGACAAUGGGAGUAAAUUUGUUUUCUUGCUCUAUAUGUGGAUGGUGUGUUGCUUGUUUCAAAUGACAAGGGUUUGUUGCAUGAGGUGAAACAAUUUCUCUCUAAAAACUUUGAUAUGAACGAUACGAGAGAGACAUCUUAUGUCAUUGGCAUUGAGAACCAUAGAGAUAAAUCUCAUGGUAUUUUAGGUCUAUCAUAGAAAACCUAUAUCAAUAAGGUUCUAAAGAAAUGUCAGAUGAAAGAUUGUUCACCAAGUAUUGCUCCCAUGGUAAAGGAUGAUAAGUUUGAUUUGAACCAAUGCCCUAAGAAUGAAUUUGAGCAUGGACAAAUGAAGAAUAUUCCUUAUGCUUCAGUUGUUGGAAGUCUUAUGUAUGCUCAAGGCCUGACAUUGUAUUUGUUGUUGGAAUCUUAGGAAGAUAUAAAAGUAAUCUAGGUAUUAACCACUGGAAAACUACAAAGUUUUGAUGUAUCUUCAAGGAACCAAGUAUUACAUGCUAAUAUAUAGGCAGGCGAAUAAUCUAGACGCGAUCGACUAUUCCAAUUCUAACUUUGCUGGUUGCGUUGAUUCUUGCAAAUAAACAUCAAGAUACAUUUUUACGAUGGUCAAUGAAGCUAUUUUAUGGAGAAGGGCUAAACAAACAUUGGUUGCUACUUCUACUAUGGAAGUUGGGUUUGUCACAUGUUUUGAUGCUACCUUUCAUGGUGUAUGGCUUAAGAGUUUUAUUUAAGGGCUUAGAAUUGUAGAUUCUAUUUCUAGGCAUUUGAAAAAUUUAUGUGAUAAUUCAGCUGCUGACUUUUUUACUAAGAACAAAAAAAAUGGAAAUCGAAGUAAACAUAUUGACAUCAAAUACUUAGCCAUUGAAGAAAGAGUUAAACAUAAAGUAGUUGUUAUUCAACACAUUAGCACUGAUUUGAUGUAAUUAUAUAUGAGUUUGAUAUUAAAAUUGAUUAACCAUUAAAAUUCACUAUUUAGUGGUCCAUAGGUUAUGAAAGUUGGUUGUUGAAUGGUCUCAAGCUCAAUGGUCUUCAAUGACCAUUAUAUGGAUAGUAAUACUCUUAAGCUUAAUGGUCUUCAAUGAUCAUGAUAUGUAUGAUAAUGGAUUUUAAUUCUUGAUGGUAGAAUCAAGCCUAUAAAUAGCAUAUGGCCCCUAAACUUGCUUUCAUCCUUUCAUUUAGAAAAAUACACAAUCUAUAUUAGAUAAAGUGAAAGCUUGGAAAAAUCAAAGACAACACACUCACAACACUAUAAGAACAUGAGGUAAACUGUGUUUCUAGUUUUCUACAUUUGAUUUAUUGAUCUUGAAUGUUCUUCUGUUUCAGGAACAUAAGUAUUACAUGGUCAACCCAUCACAACGAUUUCUGAGCAUGACUUUAGAUAAGG
rnacentral:lncRNA from 1 species